UAAUACGUAGGGUGCGAGCGUUAAUCGGAAUUACUGGGCGUAAAGCGUGCGCAGGCGGUUUUGUAAGCCAGACGUGAAAUCCCCGGGCUCAACCUGGGAAUGGCGUUUGGGACUGCAAGGCUGGAGUGUGGCAGAGGGGACUAGAAUUCCUGGUGUAGCAGUGAAAUGCGUAGAUAUCAGGAGGAAUACCGAUGGCGAAGGCAGGUCCCUGGGUUAACACUGACGCUCAUGCACGAAAGCGUGGGGAGCAAACAGG
rnacentral:rRNA from 1 species